ACAUACAUACAUAUAUAUAUAUAUAUAUAUAUAUAUAUAUAUAUAAAUAUAUAUCUGCUCGCACACACACACACACACACACACACUCUCGCUUUCAUUCAUCUAUUCAUCUGUUUUGCAAAAGACUAUUUAAUGGUUUAUAAAGAUGUUGCUUGACAAAGGAUAACGAAUCCUAUUGCUGAGUGAUGCUGACAAGUCACAGGAGGAUGUGUUGAAGCAGAGAAGAUAAAACAACUGGUUUCUUUUUUUUUUUUUAUCUUCUCCGUCUUAAAACAUCUUCUAAGUUGUCUCUUGCUCUCUCUCUCUCCCUCAUUCACAUAAAAUAUACAUUGGAUAACUCGUAGAGUGAGAGUGUGGCUUGUGAUGAGUGGAGAAAGAACUAGAAACAAUGAGUGAGUGAGAUACAGAAAUUCUCUCUCCUUUCGUUUCAGAUUCUGUGCCCCCCCCCACUCCUGGAACCAUAGAUUCUGAUAUAUGUUUAACAGUAUUCACCUCCCCCCCCACACUUGAUAUCAUUUCAUUUUCUAUUUUUUCCUACAGCUUAUCGCUAGCUUUUUUCUUUUUCUUUUUUUUACUUAAAUUUU